GCCGACUUAGCUCAGUAGGUAGAGCAACUGACUUGUAAUCAGUAGGUCACGAGUUCGAUUCCGGUAGUCGGCACCA
rnacentral:tRNA from 1 species